rnacentral:rRNA from 1 species
AUACGGGGGGUGCAAGCGUUAUUCGGAUUUAUUGGGCGUAAAGGGCGCGUAGGCGGCUUGGAAAGUCAGAUGCGAAAGCCCGGGGCUCAACCCCGGAAGUGCAUUUGAAACUAUCAGGCUUGAGUAUGUGAGAGGGACGUGGAAUUCCUGGUGUAGAGGUGAAAUUCGUAGAUAUCAGGAGGAACACCGGUGGCGAAGGCGACUUCCUGGACCAAUACUGACGCUGAGGCGCGAAGGCGUGGGGAGCAAACAGAAUUAGAAACCCUAGUAGUCC